rnacentral:rRNA from 1 species
UACGAAGGGGGCUAGCGUUGCUCGGAAUCACUGGGCGUAAAGCGCACGUAGGCGGAUCUUUAAGUCAGGGGUGAAAUCCUGGAGCUCAACUCCAGAACUGCCUUUGAUACUGGGGAUCUCGAGUCCGGGAGAGGUGAGUGGAACUGCGAGUGUAGAGGUGAAAUUCGUAGAUAUUCGCAAGAACACCAGUGGCGAAGGCGGCUCACUGGCCCGGUACUGACGCUGAGGUGGCGAAAGCGUGGGAGCA